rnacentral:rRNA from 1 species
GUAUUACCGCGGCGGCUGGCACGGAGUUAGCCGGUGCUUCUUCUGUCGCUAACGUCAAAUAAUGCAGCUAUUAACUACACUACCUUCCUCACGACUGAAAGUGCUUUACAACCCGAAGGCCUUCUUCACACACGCGGCAUGGCUGCAUCAGGCUUGCGCCCAUUGUGCAAUAUUCCCCACUGCUGCCUCCCGUAGGAGUCUGGACCGUGUCUCAGUUCCAGUGUGGCUGAUCAUCCUCUCAGACCAGCUAGGGAUCGUCGCCUUGGUGAGCCAUUACCUCACCAACUAGCUAAUCCCACCUAGGCAUAUCCUGACGCGAGAGGCCCGAAGGUCCCCCUCUUUGGCCCGUAGGCAUUAUGCGGUAUUAGCCAUCGUUUCCAAUGGUUAUCCCCCACAUCAGGGCAAUUUCCUAGGCAUUACUCACCCGUCCGCCGCUCGACGCCGUUAUCGUCCCCCGAAGGUUCAGAUAACUCGUUUCCGCUCGACUUGCAUGUGUUAGGCCUGCCGCCAGCGUUCAAUCUGAGCCAGGAUCAAACUCU